rnacentral:rRNA from 1 species
UAGCACUCCUACGGGAGGCAGCAGUGGGGAAUAUUGCACAAUGGGCGCAAGCCUGAUGCAGCCAUGCCGCGUGUAUGAAGAAGGCCUUCGGGUUGUAAAGUACUUUCAGCAGUGAGGAAGGUGGGUAUGUUAAUAGCAUAUUCAUUUGACGUUAGCUGCAGAAGAAGCACCGGCUAACUCCGUGCCAGCAGCCGCGGUAAUACGGAGGGUGCGAGCGUUAAUCGGAAUUACUGGGCGUAAAGCGCAUGCAGGUGGUUUGUUAAGUCAGAUGUGAAAGCCCGGGGCUCAACCUCGGAAUUGCAUUUGAAACUGGCAAACUAGAGUACUGUAGAGGGGGUAGAAUUUCAGGUGUAGCGGUGAAAUGCGUAGAGAUCUGAAGGAAUACCGGUGGCGAAGGCGGCCCCCUGGACAGAUACUGACACUCAGAUGCGAAAGCGUGGGGAGCAAACAGGAUUAGAUACCCUGGUAG